UUACGGUCAAAUCACGCUGAAACACCGGUUCUCGUACGAUCACCGAAGUUAAGCAUCGUAGAGCCAGGUCAGUACUUAGAUGGGGGGACCGCUUGGGAACACCUGGUACUGUAAG
rnacentral:rRNA from 1 species